UUCGGUGGGCGAAAAGAGGGAAACAAAGCGAUGGAAAUAUCUUCCUCGUCAUCCCUCUAUCUCUUCCCACCCCUCUCCUCUUCGGCUCUUCCCCAUGCCGCCGCCGCCACCACUUCCCCCAUCCUCUUGGACGCCUCGUCUCUUCCACCUCCGCCUCCAUCACCUCCUCCUCCCCUGCCUCCGCACCCGACCACGUGCUGUGGACGAGGAGGCAACAGCUCGGGAGGCAGGCAAGAGGAAAAUGGGAGUGAUCCCCUCCCGAGCCCCGCGCCUCUCCUCUUUCCCACUGCGCCGCCAGCCCCUUUCCCUCCCAUCUCCAGCUGCUGCAGCUCCUCCCUCAACCCGCGGCGCGCCUUCUUCUCCGACCGUUGUUGCCCGCACUGCUACCGCCACGGCCUGCUACUGCUCCUCCUCCUCCAGCUCCUCGCCCCAGCGACGCUUUCUCCCCUCCUCUCAUGCAAGGCGUCUUGGGGUGUGGAGGCGGCGGGGCAGCAGCCAGUCGUUGCCCUGCAGGGGCAGCAACAGGUCGGCUAUCCUGUUGUGGCGGCGACACGUCUAGAGGAACCGGUCGCCCUUCUCCUGGAUGAGCGCCGGAGCCGAAAAGCCGGAACUGACCAUUGAGGAGCUGGGGCAGCCAUGCCACAUAGGAAGGUCGAGGUGGACCAGGAGAAGCUGCACGAGGCUCCAUCGCCUCCUGCUCAAGUAGAUUUGGUUUCUCUAUGCCUACAUGAUGUUUGAUGAAAAUCCAAGAAGGACGGGGAGGAUUGAUCUAUAUAUGCGGAUAAGAGAAGAAAACUGAAACAUGUUCACUAGAGUGGCCUGGGGUGGCCUGCGAGCUACGAGGAUGGGGCUGCGAGACUGGAUUGGCAGCCGACAGCGAGAGAGGAAGGGUGGUUGUUCCUGUGAUGAGGUGGUGAUGAUUGCCAUAGUGGAAUUUUGUAGGUACGACGGCAGCGAGCUUUGAGGGCCCCCGGUUUGGUGGCAGCAUGAGCCUCGUGGAGUUGUCUCGGACAACAUCACAUCUAUUUGUUUUUGUUUCCCCACUUAGACUACUGCUUUGAUUCUGAAGUGUGGAGAUGGAUGUGACUUACCAUGGAGGAAGUGGGUACAAUAUCCAUUUGAAAGAUGCAGCAGGCUCAAAAUAAGUUUCCGGUGCAAGUGUAGCUGCAAGCCAGAUUGGUUCUUACAGCAAUGGAGUGAUUUGUACCCUGCAAAGUUCCUCUCUUGGUUCACUGACACGAUCAACCUAUGUGCACGUAGAUGAUGUUUUGUUUCCCUUCCUAGAAUCUCUGUUAUAUAUUGGUGUUGAUGUUUUCUUCACUUGGAGAUGCAAAAACAGCCCGAGACAGUUCAGGCUGAGGAUUCUCCCUCGCUCGAGGAUUCCAGUAACUAUGAGUUCUAGGCGAAGAUGUACGUUUCCUACAGACAUUUUCAGUUUGACGAGAGCUUUGCCAUUCAGCUUGAAAAAGUAUGUUCCGUCUAGGACAGAGAACCAUGAUUAUCACCACUGUUGGAGGAAAAAGCUAGAGCAAUUAUGUUUCUACUUUCAUGCAUUAUGGUUGUCUAUUCUGGGAAGGAUAGAGUUUACAUAUUUCGUAUGCCUAAAUAGUGAAGGUACUUUAUUUUCAUUUAACUGUUUCUAUGCUAUUCUCUCAUUGUCUGUGUUGGCUAAGAAAUACUAAUGUAAAUAUUCUUCGAUUUGAAAAGUUGUCAUCUCUCAUUUUUUUCGUUUUACCGCUUUCUUGUGCUACUGUUAGGCAAAUUUAGCUUUCAAUUCAACAAUUUGCUUGCUUUCUAAAGCAUGUACUACUGUUGAAGUUCAGUAUAUCAAGUAAUAAUAGUGUGUUAAAAUGAAUAAUACACAUUGAGCUAUAUAUAUUUGCUGCAAUUUGGGGCUGCUGUUGUAAUGUGGUAUAUCUCCUCCCUUGUAAUAUGUAAGGUUGUGACAGUUUAAUAUUCUUCCGCUCAGCAGCACCAAGUACGUGUUUGCAGCCUUUCUGUGCUACAUGUGAGUUCAGUUUACUGCUAACUGCAGUUGUUUAUGGAUUAGUGUAUUUUGUUGUAGGUUAAAUGGAGUUAGUAAGACCAUAUUUGAUGCUGAUCAUAAGAUACUAACGGGCUCCAUGUAAUCCCAAGUGCAUUGAACAACAAUUGUCAUUUUGCAAGAUCUUCUAGAGGGCUAUAUGUCCUAUGCUCCUCUUGACGACAUAUAUGAGGACUCGCAACCCUGAGCCUGGAAGACAACCGUUAAGGCGGUGGUCAUGGGGCAACGAUAGUCGAUAGCUACUAUCAGAACAUAAACGUAUGGCCCUCCUUGUUGCCAUGAAGGAUUAUCGUCUAUUGGAUUUGCAGAACCAGUUAAUGACAAGAUGAUGGUAGUAGCAAUGGAGGGUCGUGGUUUCUGAAUGCUGAGACUUCCAGUUUUUAGGAUCGUAAACUCCAAAUUUGGAAAUGAUAUUGUCCAAUGUAUUCACGCAAUUAGAUAUCAUUUUAGAUUAUCUUCCCUUGGAACUUCUGCCAUGUAAAGCAUGGUUGCCUUUGAUUUACCGUUGUGCUAUGAACAUAAUGUAUUGGCGUCCUCUUCUCACGAAUCAUGCUGACACUUAGCUUCUGUUUUCCGAUGUAGGGUUAUUUAGUAUGAACAAAUAUGGCAACAGUCAUUAGUCGUACUGUUUCUUGAGGUGAUGCCACUGCUACAGAAGCCCAUCUAAUGAAAGGAAAUGAGGACAGGGCAACCAUAGCUUACUUGGCAGAAACCUGCUCCAGGUUCGUAUAAGCUGAAUACUGGCGCAAGUUACUUUGAUGGUGGAACAGGUUCAGUUGCUGCAGUGCUUAGAAACUCUCGAGGGGAAGCUGUUGCAGGAGCUUCCGAGCUAAUUGACCAUGUUCUUAAUGCCCAAACUUCUGAAACUUUGGCGCUGUUGCAAGGUUUGAAGCUUCUUUCAGAGAUUGGGUGCACCAAGGUGACAGUCGAAUCAAAUUGUCUAGAACUGAUUGAAGCACGUAGUGGAAAAAUUGAGAUUUUGGGUCCCAAUGUAGCAAUACUUGCGGACUGUUUUCAUAUUGCUCAUGAAAUUCCUGGAAUUUGUUUCAAGCAUUGUCCAAGUGAAGCUAAUGGAUUGGCACAUUUUCUGGCUAGAGGAUAGGCCCAUUGCAUCUGUUGAUGCUACUGUGUUUCGACUUGAGAUCAGAUACUUCCCGUUUCAGCGUAAAGGUCGACAAGUGCCACCGCCACUCCCUAUGUUGUUUCUAUUCUAAUGUGAUCUACUUGAGACCAGGAGACAAACGUCUUUCACUCCUAUGGGGUCCAACUCCUAAUGAUUGAUGAUGUACAAUGUGUCUAAUUCCAGUUCAAACGUCUUUCACUUGAUUGGCUUGACCUCUUAUUUUAUCUUGCAUAUUUUAGAUGAUAUUAGUAGUCACUCGAGCAUCAAUUUUUUCUAUGUUCACUACAAGUCCUUUUCCUUUCAAAAUUAAUCUUCCUUUGUGCCAAAUGUUCUUUCUUACUGAACUAUCA